CGGGCCUUGGUCGCUCCCUGCCCCAGGGGAGAUCGACUGUUCACCCAUUAAAAGAAGGGUUGCUGCUCAUUGUGAGACAAUAAAUGCAAUCUCGCCCAUCCCAGUCUCCCCAACAUCAUAUGGCCCUGUUUUGAAAUACCUCUUAUCUAGAUUUCCAUGAAGAUAGCCUUGCGAGAUGUGGAUGGUCCUUCUGUAGAUCCUUGGCACUUGAGAUUGAGUGUCUGUCAGUGAC
rnacentral:lncRNA from 1 species